rnacentral:tRNA from 1 species
UCCCGUGUGGCUCAGUUGGUAGAGCAUGGUGUUUGCAACGCCAGGGUUAUGGGUUCAAUUCCCACAGGGGAC